rnacentral:rRNA from 1 species
CUAGGUUUGACAUCCUCGGCGAAGCUAUGGAAACAUAGUGGAGGUUACCCGAGUGACAGGUGGUGCAUGGUUGUCGUCAGCUCGUGUCGUGAGAUGUUUGGUUAAGUCCAAUAACGAGCGCAACCCUCUUCCUUAGUUGCUAACAUUAAGUUGAGAACUCUAAGGAUACUGCCAGUGUAAGCUGGAGGAAGGUGGGGAUGACGUCAAAUCAUCAUGCCCCUUACAUCUAGGGCUACAGGCGUGCUACAAUGGCCAAUACAACGAGCAGCCACGUGGUGACACGGAGCGAAUCUCUUAAAGUUGGUCCCAGUCCGGAUUAGAGUCUGCAACUCGACUCUAUGAAGUUGGAAUCGCUAGUAAUCCCGAAUCAGAAUGUCGGGGUGAAUACGUUCCC